AGAGUUGAUCCUGGCUAGGACGAGCGCUGGCGGCGUGCUUCAUACAUGCAAGUCGAACGAGAAGUUACCUCGGGUAAUGGAAAGUGGCGGACGGGUGAGUAAUGUGUAGAGAAUCUGCCCUAGAGUGGGGGACAACAGUUGGAAACGACUGCUAAUACCGCAUAUGAGCGUAGCUGGAAUGCUAUUCUUGAAAACUCCGGUGCUCUGGGAUGAGUCUGCAUCUGAUUAGCUAGUUGGCGGUGUAAUGGACCACCAAGGCGACGAUCAGUAGCUGGUUUGAGAGGAUGAUCAGCCACAAUGGGACUGAGACACGGCCCAUACUCCUACGGGAGGCAGCAGUAGGGAAUUUUGCGCAAUGGGCGAAAGCCUGAACCGCAGCAACGCCGCGUGAUUGAAAAAGCCCUUCGGGGUGUAAAGAUCUGUCAGUAGGGACGAAACUUGACGGUACCUACAGAGGAAGCAUCGGCUAACUCCGUGCCAGCCGCCGC
rnacentral:rRNA from 1 species